UAUUUUUACAAGUUUUGUAAAAUCGAUAUAUCUUUUACAUGAUUUUAAGUGACGAAAACAAAAUCAUUCAUCAUUCAGUACAUCACACACAAACGUUUACAAAUAUUUUAAUUUCAAAACUUAGAGUGCCCACCUUUAAGGAGGAUAAUCAAAACAUCAUUUAAUUUCAUUGAAAUAUGUCACACUUAUGUCCCAAAAUUUGUAUUUACAUAUUUUAUAGAUUGAUAGAAAAAUACUCAAGUAAAUGAUAAAAUCAGCUGAUCAUCUUCCAUGUUUUGGUUAUUUUGUUCUUAAAAGUAUAUUUUCCCAACUUAAUCAUAAUCAAGUCUACCCAGUCAAUAAGAAACUUGACACAUAAUUUUUAACAAAGGGCCAAUCUCUGAAAUAUUUCAUUACUUUUCCAUUUGUUAGUUAUGAAAACAUUGAAGGAAUGUUUGUAAUAUAUAACAGAUUUUGACAACAUUAAGUUCUGCUUGAUCAUAUUUUAAACAUUGUGCAUUUGAUUGGCUCAUAUCAAAUUUAAAUAUUUGAAAUUAACCAAUGGUAGUUACUUUAGAAAAUGGUACUCAUUCUUUAUUUUAAUACAUAUAUCAAACCAGGUUAAAAAUUUACACACAGUCCAGUAUUUUGUAUUUGUGCCAUAAGUUGAUUUUAGCUUUGUAUUCUUAUGAGAUCAUAGCUCGAAAGUGCAAUAACAUCCUUUGUGUAUAUACAUGUAUAAUCUCAUAUUUUACCCAUAUUUGUGAAUAAAUUGCUGAAUUUUUAUUCUAUUUGGUUAGUGGUGUUUAUAAGUAUUAAGGUACAAGGAAAUCUACAGUGGGUCCUUUGCAGAAUGUCCUUUUGUAGAGCAAAAGUCUAAGAACUGUAUUAUUUCUUCCCAAGAUUAAAGUUUACAAUGAACUUAACCUGUCUAGAGCAAUUCACUCCGUAAAAGUUUGGUCUCCCAGAGGGUGUUGCACUGCAGAGGUUGUAAUCUGUUAAGUUUAAAGAUAAAUCUGAAUGUUAUACAGAUAAACAGUUCCAUUCUGACCAAACAUUACACCUCAUUGUGUUAAUGAAUGAAACAUUCUGACCAAACAUUACACCUCAUUGUGUUAAUGAAUGAAACAUUCUAACCAAACAUUACACCUCAUUGUGUUAAUGAAUGAAGCAUUCUGACCAAACAUUACACCACAUUGUGUUAAUGAAUGAAACAUUCAAAUAGAAUGACAAUUCAGCAAUUAGAUUAACCCUAAAUCUGCAGAAUUUGUGUAUUGAAUAACCUACCAUUGAAUUAAGAACAGUCCAUUCAAAGUUUAAGGGAUUUAAAUAUCAAAACACAGUCAUGAGUUACUUAUAGUGUAGAGUAUGGUCGGAUUCCAUAAACAUGCCAGCUGACCUAACUAUACUGGUUCUAGCUGGUUAAUCACUUCCAGAUCUAGUAGGUUUAUCACUUCCAGAUCUAGUAGGUUUAUCCCUUCCAGAUCUAGUAGGUUAAUCACUUCCAGAUCUAGUAGGUUUAUCACUUCUGUUUCUAGUAGGUUUAUCACUUCCAGAUCUAGUAGGUUUAUCACUUCCAGAUCUAGUAGGUUUAUCACUUCCAGAUCUAGUAGGUUUAUCACUUCCAGAUCUAGUAGGUUUAUCACUUCCAGAUCUAGUAUGUUUAUCACUUCCGGUUCUAGUAGGUUAAUCACUUCCAGAUCUAGUAGGUUUAUCACUUCUGUUUCUAGUAGGUUUAUCACUUCCAGAUCUAGUAGGUUUAUCACUUCUGUUUCUAGUAGGUUUAUCACUUCCAGAUCUAGUAGGUUUAUCACUUCCAGAUCUAGUAGGUUAAUCACUUCCAGAUCUAGUAGGUUUAUCACUUCCAGAUCUAGUAGGUUUAUCACUUCCAGAUCUAGUAGGUUUAUCACUUCCGGUUCUAGUAGGUUUAUCACUUCCAGUUCUAGUAGGUUUAUCACUUCCAGAUCUAGUAGGUUUAUCACUUCCAGAUCUUGUAGGUUUAUCACUUCCAGAUCUAGUAGGUUUAUCACUUUCAGAUCUAGUAGGUUUAUCACUUCCAGAUCUAGUAGGUUUAUCACUUCCAGAUCUAGUAGGUUUAUCACUUCCGGUUCUUGUAGGUUUAUCACUUCCAGAUCUAGUAGGUUUAUCACUUCCAGAUCUAGUAGGUUUAUCACUUCCAGAUCUAGUAGGUUUAUCACCUCCAGAUCUAGUAGGUAUAUCACUUCCAGAUCUAGUAGGUACAUCACUUCCAGAUCUAGUAGGUUUAUCACCUCCAGAUCUAGUAGGUUUAUCACUUCCAGAUCUAGUAGGUAUAUCACUUCCAGAUCUAGUAGGUUUAUCACCUCCAGAUCUAGUAUUUUUAUCACUUCCAGAUCUAACUGGUUAAUCUGCCAGUUAAUCACUUACAGUUCUAGGAGGUUAAUCACACACGGUUCUGGCAGGUUUAUUACUUCUGGUUGUAGGAGGUUUAUCAUUUCCGGUUCAGGUAGGUUAAUCAUUUCCGGUUCUGGCAGGUUUAGGGGUGAGAUUUAUCCAUUUUUAUCACCAUCAUUCACAUAGAUCAGUAUUUACAACAUUUUUUUAAAAUCAUAGUUUGGAAAAACGAUAUAUGUACAGUGUAUAAAAAAUCUUUGAUGAAGAUCUAGUCAGGUGUGAGUGUCAAUUUUUAACGAAUAUAUGUUGAUAUUUUAUAAAUUAAAUAAAAAUGUAAAGUAUGAUUUCUGUAGAAUUUAUACUAGAAUGCUUCUACAUUUUAUUUUGGUGAAAAGAAAAGCUAUUGUAUAAUAAAGUUUGUUGGACAGUUUGUUGAUUUUGUAAUUUCAAAUCUCUGAAAAAACUUAACUGGUAAACUGUCAUUUUGAAUUUUAUAGCAGGUCUGUUUUAUUUUGUGAUAAAUGCAGAAACAAAAUUUUAAAUGUUAAAAUGUUCAAAAUAUUAUAUGAAGGAUGAUGUUUUAUUAAGAAGGAAGCUCACUGUUCAUGAUUGAGUUACUUAGUUGCUAGUUGUUUAUUGCUGAACUUUACAACAAUAAUUUGAGAUAAAAGAUUGGUUUUUAACAUUUUUUUUCCUUUUAAAUUAAUGUUUUGCUUACUUGAUGUACUUUACUUUUGAUUUUAGGGAAAUUAGGUAAAUUUUAUUAUUAUAAUGCUUAUACCCCCAUCACAUAAAUAUGGAGGGGGUUUACUGGAAUCACUUUGUCAUGUAUGUUAGUCCGUCCAUCCGUCUUAGUGUGUCCACUCUGUAAAUCCUAUAUCCUUUGAAAGACUCUUUUCAAAUUGGGGCUGAAAUGUUCACCUCAUCAAGGGGAGGUCCAAGGUAAGGUCACCCUUGAAGGUCAAAUGUCAGACAGUUUAUGUUAUAAAAUUCCAUAACCUUUGAAGGUCUUUCUUCAAACAAGGCUCAGACAUUCACCUUAAGAAGGAGAUGUGCUUAAAGAAUGACACCCUUGUGCACUCAUUUUAGGUCAAAGACACAUACGAGUAUGAAGGUCAAAUAUUAGGAAAUUUUGUGUCCUUGCUAUCAAUUCUUUACUUCUUGGACUUUUCUUUAAACUAAGUUUAAAUGGUCACAUUCAAUACAAAAUGAUAUUGGACUAUAUAAAAUCAGACAUCAUAGAGAUUGUGGGGGUAUCGGUCAUUCCUGUGACAGCUCUUGUUUAUUUAGUGCUUACUAAAAACAGUUUAAAGAUACUUUUUAAUGAUUUGUUUGAACAACUUCAUUCAAAAAAUUUGUUUCAGUUGUUUUAAAAAUUUAUCUGUAAUAGCUUAAUUACAUAAUGCAUUAUUUUUAAUUCUUUUAUAUUUGAAAAAAAGUUCAAAAUUUUGAAAGUUAUAGAUUUUUUAUGAUUUCUUUUAUCUCAAAAGCUGGGGGCUUGCACUGUUAAUGAUAUAUGUUAAAGUAUACAAUGUAUAAGAUUUUGCUAUAUAAAGUUUGGUUUUAUUUUGUAAUUUUGGAUGAAGACUUGUAAAUUAAUGAUGUACUGAUCAGUUUUGUUGUUUUGUUUAAACUAGCUAUAAAAUAGCAUAGACUUAAGUUAACAUUGUUUAUACGAGCAGAAUUAAUUUUCAAAUGUUUUAUGUAUGAGUUAUAUUUGCAACUUUACUUAAUAGCUAAAUAUAUCAAUGUCAAUAAGAGAUCAAAAUAUGUUCAUUUGAAAUAUUUAAAUAGUGAAAAACCCAACGAAUAGAUCAAAAUAAAAACCUAACAAAAUGUUAGGUAUAAAAAGAUUUGAUAGAUAUAAUUAUAUUUCAAUGAUAAUUUUUCACUGUACAUUGUUUAUAAAAUAUUUAUAAGGAGAUAUUAUCUGUCAUACUGUAAAUUUCAAUCAAGCUGUUAAAUUGCUGUAAGCACAUCAGCAUGUACAUUGUAACAAACAUAUGUUAUAUAAAUCAGUUUCUGACUAGAAUAUACCAUAUGUUACCAUAGUAAUACUUUGCAUCUCUAAGUCUUGCAACUUAACAUCUAAUCAAGUAUACAAAUAUCAAGGUUUAAUCAUGUAAUAGAAGAAAGCUCUAUAUUUAAAAGAUAUUUCAAAUAAGUAAUAAUAAACAUAAUAAUUAAACCUGUUCGCUUUUUGUUAUAGUAAGUAAAAUUCUUUAAAUUGGAGUGUACAUUUGUUAAUACAACAAACAGGUGACUUCUAAUGAAUGUUAAACAAGUAUUAUGUUAAGUUAAAGAUCUGGGAAAACUUAUUGACUUCCCAGGAGGGAUUCAGACUGUUUCUAUAUAUUGAUGUUUGACUUUGUAUAGAAUAUACAUUAUCAACAAAAAUAAUGAUAAGUUGCUAGACAUUAAACAUAAUAGUAUAAUAUUCAUUACAGAAAGUAUAUGUUGACAUGAUGACUGUAUAGUUAUAUAGAAGCCUUUUUGAUAUUUAUUUUGCAUAGAUGAAUUCCAAUACAAUGGUUUGUUGGUAAUAAGGUAUUUGAAAUUUGUAUAAAUGUUGUUUAAAGAAGAUACUUUACGAUUGAUAAAUGAAAAAUAAAGUGAAAUAAUUUCAUGAAA